GAUGAACGCUGGCGGCGUGCCUAAUACAUGCAAGUCGAACGAACGGACGAGAAGCUUGCUCCUCUGAUGUUAGCGGCGGACGGGUGAGUAACACGUGGAUAACCUACCUAUUAGCCGGGGAUAACUUCGGGAAACCGGAGCUAAUACCGGAUAAUAUUUUGAACCGCAUGGUUCAAAAGUGAAAGACGGUAUUGCUGUCACUUAUAGAUGGAUCCGGGUUGCAUUAGUUAGUGGGUAAGGUAACGCCUUACAAAGGCAACGAUGCAUAGCCGACCUGAGGGGUGGGUCGCCCACACGGGAACGGAGACCCGCUCCGGAUCCUUCCGGGGGGCACCGUAAGGGAAUUUUGCGCAUGGGGCGAAAGCUGAACGGGGCAACCCGGGGGGAGUGAUGAGGUUCUCGGGUCGUUAAACUCUGUUGUUUGGGAAGGAAGAUAUUUGUAGGUAACUGUGCACAUUGUGACGGUACCUAACCAGAAAGCCACGGCUAACUACGUG
rnacentral:rRNA from 1 species